GGAAGUUUAAAUGGAGCAAAGUUACAAACAAUCAAACACACCCGGAAGAGGAUUCCAGACUUCUUCUUGCUGAAUGUGCUCGAUCUGUUCACCUUUGCUCACCGGAGGGGCGGGAACGUUCCCGACACAUGGAAGAGCAGCAGCUUUCCUGUCAAACAACGUGUGACUUCCUGUUAGAGCGGACGACGUCAGUCUGAAGUCGAGGUCUGGCGCCGCAGUGAGUGUGCGAGGCGUUUCAAAACUGCAGUCAUUCGAUGCAGGCAGGUAACACCCCCCACCCCCCACUCCUUUCCUGUCUUUGCACCUCAGAUAACAGAGAGGAUGACUCCACAAGAGACUGUCAGUGUCAAACCGUCUUGUUUUUGUAACAAAACCCUCAAGAAAAAAUACACAGAACAACAGGUAACUUCUGACAUUAAUGUCAAUUUUACAGUCAUAUACAAAUAAAGCAGAAAAGGAUUUUAAAAACUAUUAAAGCACAAGAUUUUUAAUCCAGUUUGCUUGAUCAGGUCAUCUUUUCAUACAUGUAGCUAAAGGCCUCUUUGCUGUGCGAUCUUCUGCAUUCUGACGUCUUCACACGUCCGGCCGGUCUACACCUCUGUAAACAAACAAACACCAGCAGUUAAAAACAUUUUUGCUUCAUUGAUGACUUCUAGUCACAGAAAAAGUACCGCCACCACAGCAUUAGCCUCCAGCUGUGACAUCACUUUGAGGAAUGGGUUUAACACCUUCAUCGCCCACUUUCCACUUCAGUCAGCAUGAGGCGGUAAAGCAGCCCGAGCACAUCUGAGGAGGAGUUAUUAUUAGGUGGUUGACUGUCUGGUCUCUGUUUGAGACAGAAACCUGAAGGAGUUACUGUCCGUCUCUCUAAAAUCGCCUAAACAAACGGUGAAAUCAUCCAGACAGAUGUUAGAAGCUACUCUGUAAUGCUGUUGAAGAGAUGCCUGUGGUCACCUGUUGAGCAAAAGACCACGCCCCCUUUGUACACAAAUCUGUCUUAAUCCAAGUCCCACGGAGUCAAAACAAACCAUGAAAUGAAAAAGAUACCAUGUGUGCUGUGAUUUAUCACUCUUUGCAGUUUGGUAACAGUGAGAUGGAGUGAAGUUCCAUCCAUCCAUCAGUCUA